rnacentral:misc_RNA from 1 species
GAUGAAGAACGCAGCGAAAUGCGAUAAGUAGAGUGAAUUGCAGAAUUCAGUGAAUCAUCGAAUCUUUGAACGCACAUUGCGCCCCUUGGUAUCCCGAGGGGCAUGCCUGUUCGAGCGUCAUUUCACCACUCAAGCCUGGCUUGGUGUUGGGCGACGUCCCCUUUGGGGACGCGCCUCGAAACGCUCGGCGGCGUGGCACCGGCUUUAAGCGUAGCAGAAUCUUUCGCUUUGGAAGUCGGGGCCCCGUCUGCCGGAAGACCUACUCGCAAGGUUGACCUCGGAUCAGGCAGGGAUACCCGCUGAACUUAAGCAUAUCAAUAAGCGGAGGA